AUACGGAGGGUGCAAGCGUUAUUCGGAAUCACUGGGCGUAAAGGACGCGUAGGCGGGUUGGCAAGUCGGAUGUGAAAUCCUACAGCUUAACUGUAGAACUGCAUUUGAAACUGCUAACCUAGAGUAUGGGAGGGGGAGAUGGAAUUAGUGGUGUAGGGGUAAAAUCCGUAGAUAUCACUAGGAAUACCGAAAGCGAAGGCGAUCUCCUGGAACAUAACUGACGCUAAGGCGUGAAAGCGUGGGGAGCAAACAGGAUUAGAAACCCUAGUAGUCC
rnacentral:rRNA from 1 species